UGGGAAAAUCCCUCUCCUCCAGUUCCUUUGGCUCCACUACAGCCAACUGGACGUCUAAAGCCAAAGCCACACUAAACCCCUUUGCCAGGCACAGUAAAGCAGAUAGUACCCUGCAAUAAUGCCAUGGAGAGACUUCCUGAGGUAAAACCAUGCAAGCCAGCUUGAGUUCAAACUGCUUUCCUCUAUUCAUGUGAUCAGCUUCC
rnacentral:lncRNA from 1 species